UUCGGACACUUUUUGUUGGAGAUAAAAAAGUAUUGUUUUAAAAUAGUUGUUUUAAUUCUAAUUUUGCUAUAAUUUAUUAGAAAAAAUUUUGUAUUAAUUGAUCAUUGGUUGCAUUUUUCCGAGCUAUAACUUUAGGAUGCCCUUAGGUUGGUUUAUUUAUAACUGAACUAUUUUGAAGACCAUUGGGAUAAAAAAAGUUGAAAAGCAGCAUUUAUUGAAUCUGUCAUACGUAUUGCAUAUGGUGUCAAUCCUGGUUUUUAUUUCAAGAAUAAUCAAUUAGAAUGGCCAUAAAAUUUACAGUUGCUAUCAAAUCUUUAACCAAUGGAAAGUUUGUUUGUGCUGAGAACGGAGGUAAGCAACCCUUAAUUGCCAAUAGAGACCACGCGCUUCUAUGGGAGACCUUUGAAAUCUGUUUCUCUGACCCCAAAACGUUUACUCUUAAAUCUUUAGCAAAUGGAAAAUUCGUAUGCGCAGAAGAUGGUGGAGAGAGUUUUCUCAUUGCCAACAGAGAUUAUGCUGGGGAAUGGGAAACAUUCACCCUUAAUCCUAGCUAUGACAGUGUUUUCUUUAGGUCACACGCUAAUGGAAAGAUUGUGACCGCUGAAGCUGCAGCCAGAGGAAACCUUAUUGCUAACCGUGAUGUUCCAGACUCCUGGGAAAAAUUUGUCUUUGUCUAUUUAUAAAAGUAUGAAAAAAUAUGUUAUUUUAUAUAACUAAUAAUAUGGUAAAGCAUUUUGAAAUUUGUAAAUGGAAACAAUAAACUGAUUAUUACUUAUCAAUCAA